rnacentral:lncRNA from 1 species
CAAGCAACUGGUAGACAUCAGGUGCUCAAUAAGACAGUUUUUCUCAGUCUCUGAGAAAGGAAAUCUAAUAGCAAUACCAAUAUCUUAAGCAUCCCAGGUCUCAAACCACUUCACUAUUUUGUGAAGAAAAUGUCUGGUGUUUAUUAGGAAGUGACCUUAAAGUUAUUUAGGUGUUUUGUGACUCACACUAGUGAUAACUUGGGACUGGGGUUCCCUUGGAUCUGCCUGUUAAGGACAGCAUUGUGCCAGCGCACCCUCUGGGAAUACAUCUUCCCUCUUCGAGCUCAUAGCCAUUGAGACCAAAGGGCCUAGCUCAAGCAGGGAGUGGGGAGGAGAAAGCAGACGCCCUUCUUGACACUGUCCAUCUAAUAGCGCCUUCUAGACAGGACCUCGUCUUUCCUCUGUGGCCACUUUAAGCUCCUCAAAAGGAGAAUAGGAGCCCUUGAAAACCAAUAGCACUUGGACUUACACAAGCUGGCUGAUGGAACGGGCAUACUAAACUUAGGUCUCCCAUGCCUCAGUGGCCAUGACCGAUUUAAGGUCAGUUUGGAAACCCUGUUAUGUCUGUAGAGUGGCAUCACCAUUUAAAACAUUUAAUGCCCAGAUCACAUUUUUAACAUUACACUUUCCUUCUCUGGUCCCCCAACUCCGUAACUCCCUGGUUCUUUACACGUAACCUUAUUCCACCUAGAAAAGGUCAUACAGAACCCAUGGGCCAGUAUCAACGUCUCCCUAAAGAACUUCCCUGCUGAUGAUGAUAUUAAGCCAAUCAACUGCGUAUGGACUUAGCCCUUCAUUCUCUGCCCUGAUGACACGAUGGUUGAGUCCUGCAGAGAGUAGAUGUGGUAUGUGCAGGUGGCUGCAGCACCUUUCUCCUCUCCCCUGUUGCAGUCCAUAUCACCCCCUGAGUGGUCUGAAAGAAGUGCACAUCAGCACAAACUUGUUUAUUCCCAUUUCAUUUCUCCAAGGAAAGCUCAAACCCAUUCCUCAGCAUGGCUUGCAAACGGCUCCUUGUGUGCCAUUUCUCUCCAUUCCCUAUCAUGCACUUUAAAACCUAGACAUGUUAAAUUUCCUGCCAUCCCAGCCCCUGAGUGCCCAUGCUUCAGUGGAUGCAGGGUGCGAGCAUGGUCACCGAUUCUUCUAGUAAGCCUGACUUGAGCUGCCAAGAGCAGGUGAAGGAACAGCCCUCCGUUUGCAGGGGUAAAGUUCUCAGUGUGGCUCAUAAAAGACAAAAACAGUUGAUUCAUCUUAACCAGAGAAAUAUCAUUAUUCCAAAGUCCAGAAACAUCAAUAGAGAGGGCAAAAGGACGUCAAAAGCUCAUCUCAAAGGAAUAGCUUCCUAGGGAAGGCAUAGAUCCUUUAUUUUGCCCCAUGGUAUGGCAGAAGGGAACAUUUUUUUCUAGUAUUAUUUUUCACAUAUCAUAAAUGGGAAAUGGUAUUUAAGGCAUUUUUUAAUCACCUCAGAAUUUAUGGAUUUAUGAAUCAUGUCGUUUUGUUUUGUUUGGUAGUGAGGAUUGAACCCAAGGGUACUCUCCUAUUGAGCCAUACCCUAAGCCCUUUUAUUUAUUUUUAUGACAGUCCAGUCCCACUGCACCUGAUUGAAUCCUGUUUUUUGUCCCGAGUUUUUAGCUUUUACAUAUCAAAGAAAAAUGGAGGUGUCUAAGAGAAGGAUUGGAGGGACAGAGAGAGAGUAGCAGGAAAGUCUCAAGUUAUCUUCUGCCAGACCGCAUGUGGUGAACGGGAAGGUGGGACAUUCUGAAGUUGGCCAACAAAGUUUACUUCUUUCUCUUUAAUAACUAGUUUCUAAAUUUGAGCAAUAUUAAGGUCUUUCUAAUUAAAUUUUAGAUGUCAUAAAUGAUUGACUGGUUUUCUUUCAAAAAGACUCCAACAGCACAGCAACACACCACAGGGUAUGUGUCAUGUAGAGGUAGCAUGGCUUCCUGACUCUCAGUAAUGACAGAUAGCCAUUGAGAGGAUUCCCAUGUGUCCUAUUAGAUGAUCUUUCCUGAAAGGUUUGUGACUCCUUCUUGGUUGCUGACUUCUAUCUCAUUUCUCCAAGGAAAGUACAAACCCUAACCCUUAGCAUGGCUUGCAAACGGCUCCUCAUCCUUUCCAUUCGGUUUCAUAUACUCCAAGAUCUAGACAUAAUAAAUUUCCUAAAUACAGAGUCUACCCAACAAUAGUGGAAUCCCUUCAAGCAAUAUGACAGGAAGCUGCUUGUCUUCUUCCUAAUACCAUGUAGAAAAUAGGGCUUUGAAUUAUUAUAGCUUUCCACUAUCAUACCCAAACCAUUAUGUUUCUUCCUAUUAAAAAAAAACAAAAAAACCUUUUUCUUUGAGACCACUUCCAUUUGGCUGUAUCACCUGCCAGCCUAUCUCACACUGUUAUUGACCAUUGGAUACCAUCAGAUAACAUUGUUACAUACCACUGUUAUCUCUCAGUAUCUAUCAUCCACCUCUGUCCAGCAUUAUCUGCCAUCCACCCCUAUCACUACUAUCACCCCUAUCACUAUCACUACCUGUCAUCACCCCAUCUGUCAUUAUCUGCUACCCAACCCUGUCUAUCAUUAUCCACCAUCCAUCCCUACCCAGCCUCAUUGGCCAUCUACCACUGAGAACUCUGGCUCACAGUCAUCCUCUCUGCUCUGCCAUAUUCCUGGUGACGAAAGUCCACAUGGAUAAGUCACCUGUCAUGCUGGCCUCAUAUUUCUGACCCUACUUGUUUAGUACCUUUACUUCUGUGCUUUAUGCAUGUAGACCAAGGCUGCGGCCUGUGAGUUUUCGCAUUCUAGUGCUUCGAUUGUGAAUCUGACACACCACUCCCCAAUAAGAGCUUUCCAUCCUCUCAUCUCCUUCACUUUCUUCCACCACCACACUGAGAUUUUCAGUCAGUUGCUGUCUCUAUUUUCUCUCCAAUUGGAGCCCCUUAUUGGUGUAUUUAUAUUCUGGAUUCAAUUGUCGAUAUUCUUUUGCCAACAGAAAGGUCAUCCACACUUUUCCUGAACAUCCCUGAUUUCUAGUGCCAGCCUAGUCAUCGGCUCUGCCAGGCAGGACUUCUCUCUAUCUCAAUUAGUUUCUUCUGCAUUCAUAACAAGAGUCGUGUCUUUAAUCAUUCUGUGACCUCUUAGCCUUGCCCUCAGCAGAUGACCUGCAUGUGACUUCGUAGGAGGAAUAAACCACCAAGUGACAAUUUCUUCAAUUGUGCCUUCUCAGUUACAAGUUUUCUCUUCUUACUUUCUUUACUCCUACUAAUUCUUUCACCCACUUGUUUCACCCACAUAUUCUUUCCUACUCUUGGGCCAAUGUCACGGUUUGACCAUCUAAUAUGUUACUUUUUUUUUUUAAUUUUUUUAAUAUUUAUUUAUUUAUUUUAGUUUUUGGCAGACACAACAUCUUUGUUUGUAUGUGGUGCUGAGGAUUGAACCCGGGCCGCACGCAUGCCAGGCGACUGCGCUACCGCUUGAGCCACAUCCCAGCCCUAAUAUGUUACUUAAUAAUGAGCUGUACAUCACUGUCUUCUGCAUGGUGCCAGUGUCACAGUUUACUCCUUGCCUACUUUGCUUAAGGAACUAUAUUUUCAAGCUCACCAAGAGAAGUUCAACUGAAGGUGAUUGCUCCAAAACUACCUGGUUGACACCAACAACCAGGCUCCAAUGAGGAACAGCCAGAGCUGGUACUUAUGUUACAUCCCUGGACAUCUACUCAUAUAUCAUACACAGAGGGAAGUCCCAGAACAAAAGAGAGAACACACACAAAAGUAAAAGCAUAUAUAAGAUGAAGAGACUCCAUUUUAAUGAUUGCACAAGUCCAAGACCUCUGAAAACAUGGAAACAGGAAAACAAAUCUUUCCCCCAAAUUCACAAUCCCCCAACAAAGGAUCUCACAGAUAUUGGAAGUGGAUGAAAUUCCAGAAAAAGGUAAUUUUAAAAACUGAUUAUUGAAAUGCUUAAUGAACUAAAAGAAGAUCUAAGUAAUUAAGGAAGAGAGAAAAUAAAGGAGAUGAAAGAACAUUUCAAUAAAUAGAGAUACUGAAAAGAAAUCAAUCAAAAUUCCUAGAAAUGAAAGAUAUAAUACUGCUGAGAGCCACAGCCAAGUCAGAAUGAUGCAUGGCAUUUGUACCAGAAGGGAGUGGUUGAGAGGUGAUGCCAGCGUGCCAUUGAGAUGAUGAUGGUUAUGUUAAGCUGUGUAUUCAAUUGUAUAUUAGACCCCUGCUGUCCCCCUGGGCCUGCUACUUUGGAGUUCUUGAGCUACUUUGGAGUUCUUGGGAGAUUCCUGGAGAGUUUGCAUUGGUUGGGGAGGUGCUGGAGGAGGGAUUUCUGGUGUGUGGUGUUCCUGAAAGGGCCACGUGGGUGGCGUUCCCGGGAGUUCGGAUAAUAAAGGGGUUCCUAUUUUGAACCCACAAGUGCCUCAUGGCGGCUCAGUUAUUUUGUGCCCAGCCAGACUGCGGCAUUUGGUGGCCCGUGUGGGGGACGCCUGAAGCUUGGGGGUAAGUAAAAUUGCUUGCCCCUGAGGAAAGGCGAGAGAAUAGGUGACCAUUUCAAAAAAAAAUGUGUUCUUGUUUUGAUUUGUUUUGUAUUUGUUUCAAGCUGCCUGUCCCUAGAACUUUCUCAAGCAAACUGGGAAAAAUGGUUGGCUCAAGGUUUGAAGUGGUUCGCCCCUGAGGAAGAGAUAGAGAUAGACCAUGAAUAUACAUUUCAAGAAAAUAGGAAAAUUGAAACAAUGAUUUUUUGUUCAUUUUUGUUUCACUGUGUUUCGGUUUUGUUUUGUGUUAUCUUGUUGGGUUGCGUUAUCCUUGUAGCACAAAUAUGGGAUUAGAAAUUAGUAAAAAACAAACCGAAAGAGUGUUAAGUAAAAUGCUAGAGGAAGGAGGCAUCCCCAGUAAAACCAAGAGCAGUCAGGGCAUACGUUGAUACAAUACAAAAAUGUAGCCCAUGGCUUUUUAAGGAGGAGUUGUUGAAUAUUCCACGAGGAGGAAAUGAAGAACAACAAUGAAAAUCUACAAAGAGAAGAACUACAAUAAAGGAAAAACCAACCAAAGGAGAAACCAAGUCAAACUAAAUACCAAAAUCCCCAAAAUGACUGGUAAUACAAUUCGUGUCUCUUUUAACCCUUUUUGAUAAAUUUUUACACAUAAAAAUUUUAACUAUAAUAUUAUUUAAUUUUUCAGGUUUUUGUUUAUUUUGUACUUAUUGUUUUCCAUUUCUCUUCACAAAGGUAUACAAAUAUUUUCUUUAAAAGUUUUUGCAUUUUAUACAUUAUAUUUUAAUAUAUAAUUAAUCUGGUAUGUGUAUAUAUAGUGCCUGUGCUAUGAGCUAAGGUAUAUUUUAGUCUCCUAUAAUUAAAAAUCCAUUAUUCAAGAUUCAAGGAUGAAAAAGAUCAAUCAGAGUAAAAAUUUUUAAUAAGGUAUUUAAAAAGGUAAGGGCAAGGUUGAGGGAAACUAACAAAUUUUGUGAAGCACCUUUUCUUCCGAAACUUGGAGAGGUAGGAGGUGAAAGAAGAAAGAGCCACUAUGAAAACCUUGUAGGAGAAGUCGACCUAACUGAAGUUAUUUCCACCAAAAGCAUGAAGAAACCCACACUCAGUCUAAUAGAGUCUUAUAAGGAGAAAUAAAACACUUUGCUCUACUCUUGUAUAUUCUGAAUUUAUCUCUUUGGUGUCCUUUUUUGACGGAACUCAAUAAGAAACCACAUAACAGGGGAACUUAUCAUGCAGCCUGCAGCAUAUGUCUCACCAAAACGUGAAAGAUGGAGAGAGGAGCCAAUAUGGCAGCCACUGGUUACAUGAAACUACUGAGUAUUU